AGCAAUUCUGGGUGAAGUGCAUGUUAAAGAGGAAGCACAUCUUUAGUUUCCAGUAACUGGCAUUUGGUUAUGGGGUGGCUGUUUUUCUACGUGGAACAAGCAGGGUCCCAGUUCAAGUUUCUGCUGCGUAUCUGAUAAUCUUGAGAUAUGAGAAAACUGAUCCUUGAAAAGUGAAGAAAGAAAAGUGACUUGUCUAAGAUUGAACAGCCAAACGAUGAGAGUCCAAUCCCUUUGGACCUGUUUUCUCACCUAUAAAAUAGUAUUGAACAGCACACUGGAGUUUUUGUCCAGAAGUUUGACUUUAGAAGAUAAGAAAUAACUGAGCGUAUUACAAGCAGGAGUUAGAGGAAGAGACUCAGUACAGAAGAGACAGGAACAAAAGUUCACCUCCAUUCGAUGGGAAAGGAUACAGAUCAAGAGCUCAGGAAAAGUAGGAGAAAGAAGCUCUAUUCCAGAAGCAGUGUGGAGCACAAAGAAUCCCUAAUCCCUGACAUUAAGAAAGAAGAAAAAUAUUCCUAGGACGAUCCUGGAGAGCAAAG